rnacentral:rRNA from 1 species
GCUUAGCCCUAAACCUAAAUAAUUUAAUAACAAAAAUAUUUGCCAGAGAACUACUAGCCAUAGCUUAAAACUCAAAGGACUUGGCGGUACUUUAUAUCCACCUAGAGGAGCCUGUUCUAUAAUCGAUAAACCCCGUUAUACCUCACCAUCCCUUGCUAAUUCAGCCUAUAUACCGCCAUCUUCAGCAAACCCUAAAAAGGUAUUAAAGUAAGCACAAGAACAAACAUAAAAACGUUAGGUCAAGGUGUAGCCAAUGAGAUGGGAAGAAAUGGGCUACAUUUUCUUUCAAAAGAACAUUACGAAACCCUUUAUGAAACUAAAGGAUAAAGGCGGAUUUAGUAGUAAAUUAAGAAUAGAGAGCUUAAUUG